GUGCAGCAGGCGAGAAUAGUCUACAAUGGACGAAAGUCUGAUAGUGCGACGCCGUGUGUGCGAUUAAUUCCUUCGGGAUGUAAAGCACUUUUCUAUGAGAUAAAAGCUCUUUAGGUUAAUAGCUUAUUGAGACGGAUAUUAUUAUAGGAAUAAGCUCCGGCUAACUCCGUGCCAGCAGCCGCGGUAAUACGGAAGGAGCGAGCGUUGUCCGGAUUUACUAGGCGUAAAGGGCUAGUAGGCGACUAAUUAAGUUAUAUGUUAAAUCCCACGGCUCAACUGUGGUCCUGCAUGUAAUACUGGUUAGAUAGAGUACUGUAGAGGAAGGCAGAAUUCCUGGAGUAGCGGUGGAAUGCGCAGAUAUCAGGAAGAAUACCAAAAGCGAAGGCAGCCUUCUGGGCAGUUACUGACGCUGAAUAGCGAAGGUGUGGGUAGCGAACAGGAUUAGAUACCCCGGUAGU
rnacentral:rRNA from 1 species